rnacentral:rRNA from 1 species
GAUGAACGCUGGCGGCGUGCCUAAUACAUGCAAGUCGAGCGAACAGAUGAGGAGCUUGCUCCUCUGACGUUAGCGGCGGACGGGUGAGUAACACGUGGAUAACCUACCUAUAAGACUGGGAUAACUUCGGGAAACCGGAGCUAAUACCGGAUAAUAUAUUGAACCGCAUGGUUCAAUAGUGAAAGACGGUUUUGCUGUCACUUAUAGAUGGAUCCGCGCCGCAUUAGCUAGUUGGUAAGGUAACGGCUUACCAAGGCAACGAUGCGUAGCCGACCUGAGAGGGUGAUCGGCCACACUGGAACUGAGACACGGUCCAGACUCCUACGGGAGGCAGCAGUAGGGAAUCUUCCGCAAUGGUCGAAAGCCUGACGGAGCAACGCCGCGUGAGUGAUGAAGGUCUUCGGAUCGUAAAACUCUGUUAUUAGGGAAGAACAAAUGUGUAAGUAACUAUGCACGUCUUGACGGUACCUAAUCAGAAAGCCACGGCUAACUACGUG